AUUGAACGCUGGCGGCAGGCCUAACACAUGCAAGUCGAGCGGUAACACAGGGAGCUUGCUCCCGGGUGACGAGCGGCGGACGGGUGAGUAAUGUCUGGGAAACUGCCCGAUGGAGGGGGAUAACUACUGGAAACGGUAGCUAAUACCGCAUAACGUCGCAAGACCAAAGAGGGGGACCUUCGGGCCUCUUGCCAUCAGAUGUGCCCAGAUGGGAUUAGCUAGUAGGUGGGGUAACGGCUCACCUAGGCGACGAUCCCUAGCUGGUCUGAGAGGAUGACCAGCCACACUGGAACUGAGACACGGUCCAGACUCCUACGGGAGGCAGCAGUGGGGAAUAUUGCACAAUGGGCGCAAGCCUGAUGCAGCCAUGCCGCGUGUAUGAAGAAGGCCUUCGGGUUGUAAAGCUCUUUCGGCGGGGACGAUAAUGACGGUACCCGCAGAAGAAGCCCCGGCUAACUUCGUGCCAGCAGCCGCAGUAACAC
rnacentral:rRNA from 1 species